GGGUUGUGUAACUUGCUGUGGCCCAAAAUGUGAGUAGAAGUGACAAAUAUCAUUUCUCACUAGAUCCAUCAAAAGCUGUGAUCCCUUUCCCUCUGCUGCAACAACCAGCCAUGUUCCUCUGGUGACUUCUGGAUCAUUCUGGUGUCUCUGACGUGGGGCAGAGCCAUACCAGUCUUUUAUGGAUCUGUAAGGUAAGAGAACACUGGGAGCUUCCCAUCUUGCCCAGAGUUACCUGGCUAGUACAUGGCAGCAUGGAGCUUCAGACUGUGGCUGGCUGAUUCCAGACAGAAUAACGUGCCACAAAC
rnacentral:lncRNA from 1 species